GAACGGAUAAACGCUGAAAGCAUAUAAGCGUGAAGCCCGCCCCGAGAUUAGGUUUCGUAAGCAAUAGCGAAAGUCCCCUGGAAGACUACCAGGUUAAUAGGCUGUGGUGUGGAAGCGUAGAGAUACGUUAAGCUAACCAGUACUAAUGGACGAAAGCUUGACCAC
rnacentral:rRNA from 1 species